AUUGAACGCUGGCGGCAUGCUUUACACAUGCAAGUCGAACGGCAGCGCGGGCUUCGGCCUGGCGGCGAGUGGCGAACGGGUGAGUAAUGCAUCGGAACGUGCCCAGUAGUGGGGGAUAGCCCGGCGAAAGCCGGAUUAAUACCGCAUACGACCUGAGGGUGAAAGCGGGGGACCGAAAGGCCUCGCGCUAUUGGAGCGGCCGAUGUCGGAUUAGCUAGUUGGUGGGGUAAAGGCUUACCAAGGCGACGAUCCGUAGCUGGUCUGAGAGGACGACGAGCCACACUGGGACUGAGACACGGCCCAGACUCCUACGGGAGGCAGCAGUGGGGAAUUUUGGACAAUGGGGGCAACCCUGAUCCAGCCAUGCCGCGUGCGGGAAGAAGGCCUUCGGGUUGUAAACCGCUUUUGUUCGGGAAGAAAUCCUCUGGGCUAAUACCCCGGGGGGAUGACGGUACCGGAAGAAUAAGCACCGGCUAACUACGUG
rnacentral:rRNA from 1 species